rnacentral:rRNA from 1 species
UGGGGAAUAUUGGACAAUGGGCGCAAGCCUGAUCCAGCCAUGCCGCGUGAGUGAUGAAGGCCCUAGGGUUGUAAAGCUCUUUCACCGGUGAAGAUAAUGACGGUAACCGGAGAAGAAGCCCCGGCUAACUUCGUGCCAGCAGCCGCGGUAAUACGAAGGGGGCUAGCGUUGUUCGGAUUUACUGGGCGUAAAGCGCACGUAGGCGGACUUUUAAGUCAGGGGUGAAAUCCCGGGGCUCAACCCCGGAACUGCCUUUGAUACUGGAAGUCUUGAGUAUGGUAGAGGUGAGUGGAAUUCCGAGUGUAGAGGUGAAAUUCGUAGAUAUUCGGAGGAACACCAGUUGCGAAGGCGGCUCACUGGACCAUUACUGACGCUGAGGUGCGAAAGCGUGGGGAGCAAACAGG